rnacentral:hammerhead_ribozyme from 1 species
AUCCAACUGAUGAGUUCCAUAUAGGACAAAAUGUGAGUCUUGGAU